GUCUAUGAUCAUAUCACCCUGAUCUUGGAAGCUAAGCAGGCUUGGGCCUGGUUAGUACUUGGAUGGGAGAUCACCAGAGAAUACCAGUAGCCUUUUGGCCU
rnacentral:rRNA from 1 species